rnacentral:rRNA from 1 species
AGUGAACGCUGGCGGUAGGCCUAACACAUGCAAGUCGAACGGCAGCACAGUAAGAGCUUGCUCUUACGGGUGGCGAGUGGCGGACGGGUGAGGAAUACAUCGGAAUCUACUUUUUCGUGGGGGAUAACGUAGGGAAACUUACGCUAAUACCGCAUACGACCUACGGGUGAAAGCAGGGGAUCUUCGGACCUUGCGCGAUUGAAUGAGCCGAUGUCGGAUUAGCUAGUUGGCGGGGUAAAGGCCCACCAAGGCGACGAUCCGUAGCUGGUCUGAGAGGAUGAUCAGCCACACUGGAACUGAGACACGGUCCAGACUCCUACGGGAGGCAGCAGUGGGGAAUAUUGGACAAUGGGCGCAAGCCUGAUCCAGCCAUACCGCGUGGGUGGAGAAGGCCUUCGGGUUGUAAAACCCUUUUGUUGGGAAAGAAAAGCAGCAGGUUAAAACCCCGCUGUUCUGACGGUACCCAAAGAAUAAGCCCCGGCUAACUUCGUG